UCCUGGGCAAGGUUCGUCCACCCAGGGUUAGUCAGGACCUAAGGCGAGGCUGACAAGCGUAGUCGAUGGACAACAGGUUGAUAUUCCUGUACCAGUUAAUUAGUGAUGGAGUGACGAAGAAGGAUAGUAUAUCCCGGGUGCUGGAUAUCCCGGGCUAAGCACAAAGAUGGCAAUGUUGGCAAAUCCGCAUUGUGUUAACAUUGAAGUGUGAAAAUAGGGGAGUGAACGGUUCGCCUAGUAACGAAGUAUAUGACUCCACGCUUCCAAGAAAAGCUUCUAACUUAAUAAUUAACUGCCUGUACCUAGAACGAACACACGUGGUCAAGGAGAAAAUCCUAAGGCAAGCGAGAUAACUGUAGCUAAGGAACUCUGCAAAAUAACUCCGUAACUUCGGAAGAAGGAGUGCUCAUUUAUGAUGAGCCGCAGUGAAGAGGGAGGGGCAACUGUUUAACAAAAACACAGCUCUCUGCUAAGUCGCAAGACGAUGUAUAGGGGGUGACACCUGCCCAGUGCCGGAAGGUUAAAAGGAGAAGUCAGCGCAAGCAAAGCUUUGAAUUGAAGCCCCGGUGAACGGCGGCCGUAACUAUAACGGA
rnacentral:rRNA from 1 species